GCGAGGAGCUGGGCUCGGGGCGGCGCGGCGGGGCCCCUCCCCCCUGCAGCCUGGCGCGCGCCGGCCGGGCCGCACCGCUGCGGGCUCCGCACGCGCGGGCCAUGUCCGCCUUUUGCCUGGGCUUGGCUGGCCGCACUUCAGCACCCGCUGAGCCGGACAGCGCCUGCUGCAUGGAGCUGCCCGCCGCGGCCCCGGACGCUGUCGGGAGUCCCGCCGCCGCCGCCGCCCUCAUCUCCUUCCCCGGGGGCCCUGGGGACCUGGAACUGGCUUUAGAGGAGGAGCUGGCGCUGCUGGCGGCCGGGGAACGGCCGUCCGACCCCGGGGAGCAUCCUCAGGCCGAGUCCGGGCCUCCGACCGAAGGGGCCGAACUGCAGCCGCCGCCCGCCCAGGAUCCCGAACUGCUGUCAGUGAUCCGGCAGAAGGAAAAGGAUUUAGUGUUGGCUGCCCGACUGGGCAAAGCGCUGCUCGAGAGGAACCAGGACAUGAGCCGGCAGUACGAGCAGAUGCACAAGGAGCUGACAGAUAAGCUGGAGCACUUAGAACAAGAGAAACAUGAACUAAGAAGACGAUUUGAGAACCGAGAAGGGGAGUGGGAAGGGCGUGUGUCUGAGCUGGAGAGUGAUGUGAAACAGCUCCAGGAUGAGUUGGAGAGGCAGCAGGUUCAUCUACGGGAAGCAGAUCGAGAAAAGACACGGGCUGUCCAAGAAUUAUCAGAACAGAACCAAAGGUUAUUGGAUCAGCUUAGCAGGGCAUCAGAAGUUGAGAGAAAACUCUCCAUGCAAGUCCAUGCCCUCAGAGAAGACUUUCGGGAGAAAAACUCAUCAACCAACCAGCACAUCAUCCGGCUCGAAAGCCUUCAGGCCGAGCAGGUUCUUGAAAUCAAGAUGCUGUCAGAUCGGAAACGGGAGCUGGAGCACCGUCUCAGCGCCACCUUAGAGGAGAAUGACCUGCUCCAAGGGACUGUGGAGGAGCUACAGGACCGGGUGCUGAUCCUGGAGAAGCAGGGCCAUGAUAAAGACCUCCAGCUGCAUCAGAGCCAGAUGGAGCUCCAGGAGGUGCGGCUCUCUUACCGACAGCUGCAGGUGAAGGUGGAGGAGCUCACCGAGGAGAGGAGUCUGCAGAGCUCUGCCGCCACCAGCGCCUCCCUCCUGUCCGAGAUAGAGCAGAGCAUGGAGGCCGAAGAGCUGGAGCAGGAGAGAGAGCAGCUGAGACUGCAGCUCUGGGAAGCCUACUGCCAGGUUCGCUAUCUCUGCUCACACCUCCGCGGGAAUGACAGUGCUGACUCUGCCGUCUCCACUGACUCCUCUAUGGACGAGUCUUCAGAAACCUCAUCUGCCAAAGAUGUGCCAGCAGGCAGCCUGCGCACCGCCCUCAGCGAGCUCAAGAGACUGAUACAGAGCAUUGUGGAUGGCAUGGAGCCCACGAGCUCUCGGAGAAUUGACGAUGUCUCCUUAGAAGAACAGAUAAGGCAGACCAGUGAGGAUUCGAGAGCCCUAAGGGAACUCAUGGAGGGAGAGAGGGGUAAACUGAGGCAGAGCCUAGAAGAGCUGCAGCGGCUCCACAGUCAGGUGACACUGCUGAGUGUGGAGAUGACUGCACUGAAGGAGGAGAGAGACCGACUCAGAGUGACAUCUGAGGACAAGGAACCAAAGGAGCAGCUUCAGAAGGCCAUCAGGGACCGGGACGAGGCCAUUGCAAAGAAGAAUGCUGUGGAGGUGGAACUCGCCAAGUGCAAAAUGGAUGUGAUGUCUCUGAACAGCCAGCUGCUGGAUGCUAUUCAACAGAAACUGAACCUCUCACAGCAGCUUGAGGCUUGGCAGUUUGCUUCCUCAGGGCUUUUUACUAUCUGGCUCCUUUGGUUUCUGAUCUAGUGGCCUUUCUCAGUUCCCGUAUCAACAGCUUUAGUUGUACACCCCUCCUGCCUUUGAGGAUGACAUGCACAGGGUCAUUGACCGGCAGCUGAUGGACACACACCUGAAGGAACAGAGCCGGCCUGCUGCUGCCCUCUCCAGGGCGCAUGGCUCGGGGCGCACGGACGAGCCCAGCACCGCUGAGGGCAAACGGCUCUUCUCAUUCUUCAGGAAAAUUUAAGCUGGGAGGAGUCAGGCCAGCAAGGAUGGGUGCACUGGAGGCGACUGAAAAGGGCAUGUAGGCGAGGGCUCAGCCCACCGUGUUUACAUGCCGGCCCCCCAGCCCCAUGCCAGGCUCGGGGGGUGCACUGCCCACCCGCACUGGGGCCAAACCAUCCAGGAAGGCCUGCUCGGCCUCUGAAGGCUGCCCCCAACAGAGGGACAGGCAGAAGCCUCGUCCCCACCGCCUGGCCACACCCAGCCUGGGCUUCCCCAGGAUCUGCUGCUGUCAGCAGGCUCAGCCUGCCUCCAGAGCAGCCCCUUGGUUGGGCUCUGCUGCUCAGACCUGACAGAUCACAGCGCACCCCCGCCUUCCCCUUGGUGGUUCCCGUGCCCCACCCCAAGCACCGCCACCCUUGUGUUUUGGAAUACGGGGAUUGGGGAACAGAAGAGAUGGAGGCCCUUUCUGCAUGCCUCAGGAGGCCCUUGCUACCCCCAGCUGGCCUGAGCCGUGGGGGCCGGGUCCUGCAGGGCACCAGGCCCAGGCCCAAACCCCAUCCUUCUGCAGCCCCUGGCCCAGGAAGGAGGCGGCUCCUCACCCACGUGCAUGCACCUCUGCCCCCAGGCCAGGAACCCCAGCCUCCGGCCUGCCGGCUGGGGCUGUCCUAUGCUCAACCACAGUUGGGCCCUGCCAGGGUUUGGCUGAGGCCAUCCUAAGCUCAAGAGGAAGAAGGUCCUGUCCCCUCCCCACCCCCUUGGACAUAGGCCCUCUGCAGGCUCAGCCCUUCCCUUCCUUGGGCCAGGGCUGGGAGGGGGGUCUCCUCUUCCCACAGCACCCCACCACUACCACUCUGCUCAUACAUACAAGUUCUUGGCUUGGCCAAAGCAAGUCCAGGCUCCAGAACGGCCCCAGAGGGGUCUGCAGUCAGCCACUGCACCUUAAAAGGCAAUGUUGGCAUCACGGGGUGGACGCCUCCAGAUACUGCCCACCAGGCCCCCAGAAGGACGAACCUGGCAACCUGCUGCUCCUGCUCCUUCCUCAGCGGCCACUUCACCUUCUCUGCUGAGCCCCCAACUCUAGACUCAGAGGCCCCCAGGCUGAGGCAGCCCACAAGCUGCUUUACAAAAGAUCAUCUCCCUCCCUCACGGGAAAAGCACAGCAGGGAUGAGUGGAAAGAAUGUACCUAUAGAUAUGUACAUACCACAGUGCUGUAAUUUUGUAUGUAGCAAUCAUGUAAAUACAUGUAUGGAUUUUAUAAUAUACAUAUUAUAUAUGAAUCUAUAAAGGCAUAUUUUUAGAAAAACAGCGCACCACUGCUUCUUUUGAAAAUAGUCUAAGAAUAAAAUGAAUUUCUACAGAGCUUUCCGCCUCAGUCACUGGGUACUUAGAGGGGGUGUUUGGUCAGAAUGCAGCUUGCAUUUUAGAACUGCUGGCUGGCCAGCCAUGAAGAGGUGAUGACAGUCCCCCCACCCUCCUGAGGGUCACCCCAUAUGUUGUACCAAUCAAUGGAUUCAGCCAGGGAGGGGCACCUCCCCUGGAUACCCCUGGAUGUAUUGUCAGUGAAGUUGUUUUGGGAGCUAUGGCUGAAGGUACCUUUUCCAUGUGCCCCCAGCCAGUGUUACAGUUGCCACUUGACAGGCCCUGCCAGUGCCCUUUCCCAAGCCCUGAACAGGUCCAGCAGCUUGGCAGAAACUUCAAGUCAGAAAGAAAUCACUGUAGGCAAUGCUUCCGCUGAAUCCUCCCAGGCACAUGGAGAAUAAAUACGGCGCUUCCCCUGGCAUCUUACCACGUGUGCUCCCCACCAACGGGGAAGCUCAAUCUGGACCCACCUGUCAUGGAGAAAACCAACAUGGCUUCUGAAAGCAUUCCUGUGCCUCAACAGCCACCUGUGCAGGACUCAGACCAGAACAAAGAGCUGGACACAGUGGGUUGGAAGAAGCCAGGCCCACCUAGAGCACAGCUGGAGAGCAAAUAGACCCUGGAAGAAAAUUUGGCAGCUUGAACCUUUAUUUUUAGUAUUUUUUUUUAAAAAGCAUAAUUAGAAACUUUCAAUACAGAAAUAAUCCUACCAAACCAUUUAAAAGUUUUGUUGUUCGACAGGAAUUUCACGUCAGAUCCACCAGGAUGUUGGUCCAGCCUUGAGUCAUUCCCCCCCACCACCCCCACUUCAUGCGUGUGACACUCAGUGGGACAGGCACACUGUUGUCACCAAAUCAGCUCACCAUCUGGGUCUGGAUGUCUGGUUGCUAGAAGCUUCCAGGACCCCCUCCUCUUAUUGCUUGAAUUUGCAAGCACUGCCACACUGGUGUCACCUGAAAUGCUCACAGUCUAGUUGCAGCUCACCCACGAGCCCCAAGCUCUCCACACCACCCACAGGACCUGUGGUCACCAGGACAGUCCUGAGGACGGAGACUCCCAGCCCCCCAGCCAGAUGGGGCUGCCUGCUGUCGCUCCCACAGCACCGUCUUCCCAGGCCCAGAGCUCCUCCACCUCUUCCUGUGGCUCCAAAGUGAAGGCCUGUCACACAGAACCACGGCUUUUGGCAGUUUGGGGAGUGGAAAGACAGGUGAGAAGAAACCCCUAGUUUUUAUUGAUUAAAAACCCAUCAACAAUGACAUGGAAAAUCUACAGUGAGAUCCGUGAUGUGAUUGUCCAAUCAGGGCUCAGCCUGGAAAUUGAAUAAGAAAGGAAAUCUAGUAAAACACAUCAUGGUGUUGGAAUAAAUUAUUCCCAAGUUACGUGAUCCUUUUAGGGGAAAGGUGAAUGAAGUGUGGUCCUGAGGGGGUGAAGGUGACAGUCAAGAUGACCCUGGUUUUUCCUCCAGGGCACCAGGGUGGGUCAAAGCUGGCUCCCAGCCCUGGCGGCCAUUCCUUCCCACCAGCUAAGAAGUCCUCCUGCUGCCUUUCUACUAAAACAGUCCAGUCAGUGAUCCAAGGCUGCCUGUGUCCACCUCAGAGACAUCGUCCCCAGGGCCCAGCAGCCCCUGGCACUCACUCUCCACACUCAAAGGUGCCUGGUGCUGCACUGGAGACCAGGACUCAGUGGGAGGCCCCUCCUUAACGUCCAGGAAGGCAGAGCUGCUUGGCCAAGAGCCCAGGUCCACAACGACCGGCAGCCAUUCACUUUUUCUAAAAACACUGGACCCAAAGUGGGGAGGCCACAACUUUCUGCUUGCUGUGCCAACCAAACCUCAGGAAGAAAAAAAAAAA